UAUAUACUACAUCCGUCAGGAAAUACUUGUCGCUCAAACGGAUGUAUCUAGAUGUAUUUUACUGCUAGAUACAUCCGUUUGAGCGACAAGUAUUUCCGGACGGAGGGAGUACAAC
rfam:Triticum aestivum genome assembly, contig: Triticum_aestivum_CS42_TGACv1_scaffold_273064_3DS